UACGGAGGAUCCAAGCGUUAUCCGGAUUCAUUGGGCGUAAAGGGUGCGUAGGUGGCGCCGUAAGUCAGGUGUGAAAUUUCGGAGCUUAACUCCGAAACUGCAUUUGAUACUGCGGUGCUUGAGGACUGGAGAGGAGACUGGAAUUCACGGUGUAGCAGUGAAAUGCGUAGAUAUCGUGAGGAAGACCAGUGGCGAAGGCGGGUCUCUGGACAGUUCCUGACACUGAGGCACGAAGGCCAGGGGAGCAAACGGG
rnacentral:rRNA from 1 species